UGUUUAGAAAAUGGCAAUGGACUGUAU
rnacentral:piRNA from 1 species